rnacentral:rRNA from 1 species
UAAGCGGAGGAAAAGAAACCAACAGGGAUUGCCCUAGUAACGGCGAGUGAAGCGGCAACAGCUCAAAUUUGAAAUCUGGCCCUUGGGUCCGAAUUGUAAUUUGUAGAGGAUGAUUUUGGUGCGGUACCUUCCGAGUUCCUUGGAACAGGACGCCUUAGAGGGUGAGAGCCCCGUACGGUUGGAUGCCUAGCCUUUGUAAAUCUCCUUCGACGAGUCGAGUAGUUUGGGAAUGCUGCUCUAAAUGGGAGGUAAAUUUCUUCUAAAGCUAAAUACUGGCCAGAGACCGAUAGCGCACAAGUAGAGUGAUCGAAAGAUGAAAAGCACUUUGAAAAGAGGGUUAAAUAGCACGUGAAAUUGUUGAAAGGGAAGGAUUUAUGACCAGACUUUUUCUGGGCGGAUCAUCCGGUGUUCUCACCGGUGCACUUCGCCCAGUUUAGGCCAGCAUCGGUUUUCGGUGGGGGAUAAAAGCUUUAGGAAUGUGGCUCUUUCGGGAGUGUUAUAGCCUAUUGUAUAAUACCCUACUGGGGACCGAGGUACGCGCUUCUGCAAGGAUGCUGGCGUAAUGGUUAUCAAUCACCCGUCUUGAAACACGGACCAAGGAGUCGAACAUUUGUGCAAGUGUUUGGGUGUUAAACCCUCACGCGUAAUGAAAGUGAACGGAGGUGAGAGCCCUUACGGGUGCAUCAUCGACCGAUCCUGAUGUUUUCGGAUGGAUUUGAGUAAGAGCAUAACUGUUCGGACCCGAAAGAUGGUGAACUAUGCGUGGAUAGGGUGAAGCCAGAGGAAACUCUGGUGGAGGCUCGCAGCGGUUCUGACGUGCAAAUCGAUCGUCAAAUCUGCGCAUGGGGGGGAAGGACUAAUCGAACCAUCUAGUAGCUGGUU